ensembl:lncRNA novel transcript, antisense to CCDC88A
AUCCCACCGAGGCCACCAUAGACCAGCCAGCCCUCAGCGUACAUGCCAGCUAAUUACAGAUGCAGGAGCAAACCCCUGGCCCAUACAUCAAUGAGGAAAUUAACUGAGAAAGAAGAUACAAGACCUGCCAAAUUCUUUUUUUUUGUUUUGUUUGAGACAGAGUCUCACUCUGUCGCCCAGGCUGUAGUGGCGCGAUCUCGACUCACUGCAACCUCCACCUCCUCGGUUCAAGCGAUUCUCCUGCCUCAGCCUCCUGAGUAGCUGGGCUUACAGGCAUGCGCCACCAUGCCCAGCUAAUUUUUGUAUUUUUAAUAGAGACGGGGUUUUGCCACACUGGCCAGGCUAGUCUCGAACCCCUGACCUCAGGUGAUCUACCCACCUUGGCCUCCCAAAGUGCUGGGAUUACAGAAGUGAGCCACUGUGCCCAGCCUGACCUGUCAAAUUCCUGUCAAACUCAACUUCAUGUAACACUGAACUGUAACUAUCAAGUUAGAAUAUUUUUUUCAUUUGUUUGCAUAUAUAUAGACUUCAUUAAUCUUAAUUUAGUGAUCUCAGUUAAGAAGCAAUCUGAAAUAUGUUUUGCUUUCACUUUUGGAAAAAAGUCUGAAAUAGAAGUAAAUAUUUUGACUACAAGGGAAGGACUUCAAAGGUCUGCUCUAUAUAUGAUGCUAAGAAAAGGAAUAAAAGAAGAACCCCAGAGUUCAAUAAAAUUAGUAAUAUCCAUAGAUCCCUUUUGUAAAAGUCUAACUAAAAGCAAUAUGCUAAUCUAUCAUAAAAUAAACA